rnacentral:misc_RNA from 1 species
GGAAGUAAAAGUCGUGACAAGGUUUCCGUAGGUGAACCUGCGGAAGGAUCAUUAUUGAAUAAACCUGAUGUGGUUGUAGCUGGCCCUUUCGGGAGCAUGUGCACACCCGUCGUCUUUAUCUUUCCACCUGUGCACCUUUUGUAGACCUGGAUGUAACACUUUCCGAGGCAACUCGGUCGGGAGGAAUGCUGUCAGCUUUCCUUGAAUGUCCAGGCCUAUGUUUUCAUAUACCCCAAAGAAUGUAACAGAAUGUAUUAUUGGGCCUUGUGCCUAUAAACUAUAUACAACUUUCAGCAACGGAUCUCUUGGCUCUC